rnacentral:miRNA from 11 species
GUGUGUGUGUGUGUGUGUGUGUGUGUGUGUGUGUAUAUAUAUAUACACACACACACACACACACACACACACACAAUCUCCCACGACACAUA